rnacentral:rRNA from 1 species
GAGCGCAGUUAUUAGAACAAGACCAAUCCGGCCUUCGGGUCGAGUAAAAUUGGUGACUCUGAAUAACCGAAGCGGAGCGCAUGGUCUCGUACCGGCGCCAGAUCUUUCAAGUGUCUGACUUAUCAGCUUGUUGUUAGGUUAUGUUCCUAACAAGGCUUCAACGGGUAACGGGGUAUCAGGGGUCCGAUUCCGGAGAGGGAGCCUGAUCAAACGGCUACCACAUCCAAGGAAGGUAGCAGGCGCCCAAAUUACCCACUCCUAGCACAGGGAGGUAGUGACUAAAAAUANCGAUGCGAGGGGCUAAUUGCUUCUCGUAAUCNGAAUGGGUACACUUUAAAUCCUUUAACGAGGAUCUAUUGGAGG